GGCGGAGGCGGCGCUGAGGAGCUGCGGAGCCGCGGGAACGCCCCGGAAACGGAGCCAGGAUCCCAACGGCUCCUCCUGCUGGGAAUUCCGGACCCCGGAGCGCAAACGGCUCCGAGCCCUUCCCGAACCCCCGGCCCGGAAUUCCCGCCAGGAAAACCGGGAGGAGGAGGAGGAGGAAGCCUUUCCCGGGAAAUCGGCGCGUUCCCUGAGAUUGGACAUCCCGGCGGGAAAUCCGGGAGUUCCCGGGAAUUCCCAGCCCGGCUCCGCCUCUUCCCACAAUUCCCAACUUCCCGUGGGGGCUUUUUAUGGGAAAAGGAUUUACCUGGAUCCUCUGGAGAGGAAACGGCUCCGGGAGCUGCUGGGAGACGGCAACGGCCCGGAAAAACCCGGGAAU